ACGAGCCGUUCAUUGUGAUGCAAUUGUCGUACGCGUGCUGCCAGAAUAAGGACUGGCGUAUCACCACGUAUUGAUAAAUAUCAUCCGACUGUGACGGGAGAGGUUGUCGCGUACCUAAUUUAUAAUAUAUCAUAUGAACUGCAAUCUCCUUUCGCAGCGAGCUUCUAAGAACACGGGUGAUCUAGUUUCGUGUCUAUCAAUUUAAUAAGUACCUCAUCGGCGGCCAUUGUGAGACGUUGUUUUGCCCGGGAUUGAAUAUGCUGACGCCGGUGUCUAGCCAGGACCAGUUACCAAGCGAGCCCCUGCCACCGAUCCACGCGCUCUCUACGCCUGGAUGGAAUUACCAAGAGAAUGGACUAUAGCUGUUCCUUACAUCAACAUUAAUUAUGGUUUAAACUAUCAUAUAGUUAUAUAAUACUUAUAAAGACUCAUGUAAAAAAUAUAGAAUUACAAUUUA